rnacentral:rRNA from 1 species
UCCUACGGGGCGCAGCAGUGGGGAAUAUUGCACAAUGGGGGAAACCCUGAUGCAGCGACGCCGCGUGAGCGAGGAAGUACCUCGGUAUGUAAAGCUCUGUCAGCAGGGAAGAAAAUGACAGUACCUGACCAAGAAGCCCCGGCUAACUACGUGCCAGCAGCCGCGGUAAUACGUAGGGGGCAAGCGUUAUCCGGAUUCACUGGGCGUAGAGGGAGCGCAGGCGGCACGGCAAGUCUGAUGUGAAAACCCGGCGCGCAACCCCGGGACUGCAUUGGAAAGUGCUGGGCAGGAGUGUCGGCGGGGAG